rnacentral:rRNA from 1 species
CAGCCGCCGCGGUAAUACCGGCGGCCCGAGUGGCGGUCACUAUUAUUGGGCUUAAAGCGUCCGUAGCCGGGUUGGGAAGUCCUCCGGGAAAUCUGGCCGCUUAACGGUCAGAAUGCCGGAGGAUACUCCCAGCCUAGGGAGCGGGAGAGGCCGAGGGUAUUCCCGGAGUAGGGGGGAAAUCCUAUAAUCCCGGGAGGACAACCUGUGGCGAAGGCGCUCGGCUGGAACGCGUCCGACGGUGAGGGACGAAGGCCAGGGGAGCAAACCGGAUUAGAUACCCGGGUAGUCCUGGCUGUAAACGAUGCGGACUUUGUGUCGGACAAGCUAUGAGCUUGUCCGGUGCCGGAGGGAAACCGUUAAGUCCGCCGCCUGGGGAGUACGGCCGCAAGGCUGAAACUUAAAGGAAUUGGCGGG